rnacentral:rRNA from 1 species
GCCGGUAUAUCGUAAGGGGCCAGCGUGUCCGGAUUUAUGAGCGUUAAGGGCGCGGUAGGGCGGGUUGCUUAAGUUCCGGUUGUGAAGAUCCAGGCUCUCACCCUUGAAGAGGUGCUCUCGGAAACUGGGAAUCUUGAGGACAGGAAGAGGAAAGUGGGAUUCACGUGUAGGCGGGUGAAAUGCGUAGGAUAUGUGGAGGGAACCCCAGUGGGGGAAGGGGGACCUUUUUGGACCUGUACUGACCGUUGAGGCGCGAAAGCGUGUGGGGCACAAACCAGGAUUAGAUACCUGGUAGUCCACGCCGUAAACCGAUGAGUGCUAGGUUGAGGAGGGUAAUCGACCCCUUCUUGUGCCGGCAGUUAACAACAAUUAAGCACUCCGCUGGGGAGUACGGCCGGCAAGGUUGAAACUCAAAGGAAUUGACGGGGGCCCGCACAAGCGGUGGAGCAUGUGGUUUAAUUCGACGCAACGCGAAGAACCUUACCAGGGCUUGACAUCCUCUGAACUUCCUAGAAAUAGGGAGGUGCCCUUCGGGGAGCAGAGAGACAGGUGGUGCAUGGUUGUCGUCAGCUCGUGUCGUGAGAUGUUGGGUUAAGUCCCGCAACGAGCGCAACCCCUGUAUUUAGUUGCUAACGAGUAAGGUCGAGCACUCUAGAUAGACUGCCGGUGAUAAACCGGAGGAAGGUGGGGAUGACGUCAAAUCAUCAUGCCCCUUAUGUCCUGGGCUACACACGUGCUACAAUGGCCGGUACAGACGGAAGCGAAGCCGCGAGGUGGAGCAAAUCUGAGAAAGCCGGUCUCAGUUCGGAUCGCAGGCUGCAACUCGCCUGCAUGAAGUCGGAAUCGCUAGUAAUCGCAGGUCAGCAUACUGCGGUGAAUACGUUCCCGGGCCUUGUACACACCGCCCGUCACACCACGAAAGUCUGCAACACCCGAAGC